UGGACAGUACUGACGCUGAGAUGCGAAAGCGUGGGGAGCAAACAGGAUUAGAUACCUGGUAGUCCACGCUGUAAACGAUGUCGAUUUGGAGUUUGUUGCCUAGAGUGAUGGGCUCCGAAGCUAACGCGAUAAAUCGACCGCCUGGGGAGUACGGCCGCAAGGUUAAAACUCAAAUGAAUUGACGGGGGCCCGCACAAGCGGUGGAGCAUGUGGUUUAAUUCGAUGCAACGCGAAGAACCUUACCUGGUCUUGACAUCCAUAGAAUUCUGCAGAGAUGUGGGAGUGCCUUCGGGAACUAUGAGACAGGUGCUGCAUGGCUGUCGUCAGCUCGUGUUGUGAAAUGUUGGGUUAAGUCCCGCAACGAGCGCAACCCUUAUUCUUUGUUGCCAGCGAUUUGGUCGGGAACUCAAAGGAGACUGCCGUUGAUAAAGCGGAGGAAGGUGGGGACGACGUCAAGUCAUCAUGGCCCUUACGACCAGGGCUACACACGUGCUACAAUGGCGUAUACAAAGGGAAGCGAAGGUGCGAGCUGGAGCGGAUCUCAUAAAGUACGUCUAAGUUCGGAUUGGAGUCUGCAACUCGACUCCAUGAAGUCGGAAUCGCUAGUAAUCGUAGAUCAGAAUGCUACGGUGAAUACGUUCCCGGGCCUUGUACACACCGCCCGUCACACCAUGGGAGUGGGUUGCACCAGAAGUAGAUAGCUUAACCGCGAGGGGGGCGUUUACCACGGUGUGAUUCAUGACUGGGGUGAAGUCGUAACAAGGUAACCA
rnacentral:rRNA from 1 species